UACGUAGGGUGCAAGCGUUAAUCGGAAUUACUGGGCGUAAAGCGUGCGCAGGCGGUUUUGUAAGUCUAACGUGAAAUCCCCGGGCUUAACCUGGGAAUGGCGUUGGAGACUGCAAGGCUGGAAUCUGGCAGAGGGGGGUAGAAUUCCACGUGUAGCAGUGAAAUGCGUAGAGAUGUGGAGGAACACCGAUGGCGAAGGCAGCCCCCUGGGCUAAGAUUGACGCUCAUGCACGAAAGCGUGGGGAGCAAACAGG
rnacentral:rRNA from 1 species